GCUGGUGAUGAUAAACAUGCAUUUCAUUCAGCAGAACAGAGUGUUAUAGCUCGAAGUAAAAAAACUGGAGUUGAAAUUCAGUGUGCACUUACUAAACGUCCAAAAAAAAAGAAAUACGGUAUUCUAUGAUGAAUAGUGAAAGUAUUGAUAGAACUGUUGUUCCUCCCUUAACAUCAGUUAGAAAAAUCUUUAAUGAAUCUGGAGAUCAAAAAGAAAUGCUGUCAUCUUGGAAUAACAAAAACCAGUUGGAGAAUGAAGUUGUGGAAAGAUCUGAAUCUAAAAAAAAUCAAAUCUCUCUGUUAGAUUUUCCAGGCAGCUCUGUUACUGAUCAUUCAAAGACAAGGGAAAACACUUCUAAAACAGAAAGGACUGAAUCACAGAAUGAGGCUGUGAUUUUUAGCUCUCCCGUUUUUUAUGAUAGAAGCAGCAGAAAUUCAUCUUCCAUGGUCAGUUUCACAGAAAAGCAGAUAACAGCACUGGAGGAAAAAACAUAUGAACUGAAGAAGUAUUUGGAGGAGACAUCCACAAAAACUUCAGAACUAGCAACGACAGGUGUGUAUAGGAAAGAUAAGAAAUCUGCUGUAUGUUUACAAGAAACGGAACAGAAAGAAAGUAAUGAUAACUCCAUGACUGAAUUAUUCUCCUUGUCUAAUUCUCCAGCAGACUAUUACUCAAGAAAUAGUAGCUCUCUGUCUGUGGAAGAACUGUUGCAAGAACAGGAGUAUAAUUUUGCACAGUUUAGACAACAGAUUCAAGAACAACAUAAACAUCAAAUGGAGACUUUGUUGCAUCAACAGAUGGAGCAGAGGAAAAGUUUACAGGAGAAAUUAGCCAAUCAGGAAGUCCUGCUUGCUCAAGGGCCAGGGUUUAUCAAAGAGACAGAAAGAAAUCAUCAGAAACCUUUGAUGGAAGGAAAUAUUUCAGAAAGCUUAAAGGAAACACCAGACACUCCUGAGAAUUUUCACAAUGAUACCAGUCUUGGUUCUAACAUCACUUUUCCAGUUAACCAGGCAAAUUCAUUAAGAAAACAAUCACUUAUUGAAGAAAUCGGUUCAUCUGCUCUUCCUCCAAAAGAAACUCCAAUCUUUCAUGUCCCAUCUGACAGUGUUAUUAAGGAUUUAAGUACUCAUCCAGUGGUGUCUCAAGUUUUAGAAGAUAAAGCAACAGGUGUGCCAUCAGAGUUCAAACAAAUGCCUAGUUCAGUAGCUGAAAUUCCUCCAGAGGCUUUAGAUCCAGCCAUGAAGUCAAAAUUUGAUCACCUUACUGCAGCAGCUAAAGGUUUUCUCACAAGGCUUCUAAUGAAAAGUGAUAGAGUACAAGGGGUUAUUCAGACAAUUAAGGACACUUUGGAGUGUGCUCUCAAGUUUCAUCAAGAAACACCUAUCAAAAAGGGUUAUGUAACUUUGCAAGAUGCUGAACUUCACAAGAGGCUUCUUACACAGUUAACAGCUGCCUGCUAUGAACUACAUAGUAUUUUUUUUCGAACUUUCUACCAAAGAAAAAAUGGCAAUCAUUGCUCAGUCCAGAAAGAGUUCCAAAGGAAGGCAACAAGUCAGUUCACCUGCAGAAAUUCAAUUAAAUCCAGAACCUGUAAGGAAAAUGUCUUCAGCAACUCUCAAAUCCUUGGAAAGGAAGAAAGGAAGGAAGCAAGCAAUGUCUAGAUCCAUGAAUUAUUUAUCCCCAGCUAAAAUGGAAUCUCAGGGAUAUGGAAAAAGAGCAGGAAGCUCUGUUAUGAUAAAGCCUCGAAAUUUACCUCCUGGCAUGAAAAAUUCUAUGAGUACCAAGCUGCAGGUGGUUGAUUCAAACAAAAUUCUCUCACGAGAAGGGGUACCAAGAAGAACAAUCAGACGUGUGCGACGAUCCCUUUAUGACAAAACCACCACUGAGUCGCAUGUUUCUCAAAUGAGAACAUUGUUUCCAAGAAAUGAGCAGGCUGAUUGGAAAGAUUAAAACUAAGUUAUUUUUUUAUUGGAAAUUUCUACACAAAAGUUAUUAGCUGUUAUACAAAAAUACAGAAUGGAAACUUCCUUUUUUUAUAGAAUCUAAAAACUACAAUUUUUUUCUGCCAGUGAUGUCGGUAAUUAAUAAUUUUCGUAACUAAUUUAUAUUUUUCUGUUAUCAAAUGUAAUUUGUAAUAAGGAACCGUUUCUUGAAGCUUUUGCUGUAUGUUAAUUUUUACUAGGCUAUAUGUAUUAUUUAAAAGUUAACGUAUAUGUCAUUGUUUAGUAAAGUGAUUUUUUUGAGUUAUAACUUUCGUUUAGUGCGUUAUUAGUUUGCGUUUUUAAGAGGUUUAAUGCAAAUUUUUUGCUUUUGUUUACAGAUAAAUAAUUUUCAAUAAUUCUUCAUGUGUUUGCUGUUCAACAUUUAAUUUUUGUUGCUAUGUAGUUAUUUUUCCUUUAGUUUAGAAUUUGAAAACUAUUUUCAAUUUUUAUACCAAGUUGUAUCUUGCUGUUAGGUGUUAUUGCUGCUAAAACCUAGUCUCAGUGAAUUUUGUACUUGUCAUAAUCAGUGAUAACCUUUACUUAAUAUACUCUGAUACCAGUAUUUUCAUCAGGAUCCUCUUGUUAUGAUUAAGGAUUAUAGAAGAACAUUCUAUUUAAAAAUAUAUAUAUUUAUAUAUAUAUUUUUGUAUGUGUUAGGAUUUUUUACUUUUUUAAAAAAUAACAUA
rnacentral:misc_RNA from 1 species